rnacentral:lncRNA from 1 species
UAAAUGAAGGUAUGUUUGUUGGACACUAAUAUGUAUGAUUCCAUAGCUUUCUGUAAAUGUGUGAUAUUGUUAUGCAUUUUAUGUUACUUGAAGUAUUGCUUAUAGGUAUUGGCAUUUGUUAAAAGUAACAACUUCUGAUUUUUUUAGAUAAAUGUCUCUAGAAUAACAUUAAUAUACUAAAUUAUAAAACCUAAAAUCUAAAAAACAAUACAAAUUUACACAUACCCUUGAGUAAAAUAUAUAUAUAUAUAUAUAUAUAUAUAUAUAUACUUUUAAUUAUUUUUUACAAAUACAUGUAUUGUUGAAAUGUAGCUGUUGGAAUUUUACACAAGGGUCUGUGGGAUACUUUGAGCCUACUAUACUUUGAAGAUAAAUUAAGAAAACAAGACAAUCUUGGAUAAAUCCUUAUUUGGUUCUCAACAAAAAAAUCUAAUCAACUAUUAUUAUUGUUCACCACCAUGCAUUGUUACCCCUAAUCUCUAUAAUAAGACACAAUGGUGGAUGCUUAGCAGCAUAUUAAGCAAU